AUAUCUGUAAGCAACAAUAAACCAUUUCUAAUAAAAAUAACAAUUCUGAUCGAGUUCAGUUGAGAGUGAUGCUUUGUCAACAAUAUAAAUAAAUGUAUAUCAUAUUAUGGUAAAAUUAAUGAAUAGGCAUUAUUUAUUUAGCUUUAAAUUAUUAAAUUAUUAUUAGCUGCAAGCUAGGCUAAAAUAACAAAAUUGGCCUAAACAUAUCAUCACAAAUCUGGUCUACUGUACAAUAAAUAUUAUUCUCUGAUCAACUAAAUGCAAUUUAACAAUGUUCAUGGGGGGUGGGGUGUACANACCUGCAGGCUAAGCUAAAAUAACAAAAUUGGCCUAAACAUAUCAUCACAAAUCUGGUCUACUGUACAAUAAUUAUUAUUCUCUGAUCAACUAAAUGCAAUUUAACAAUGUUCAUGGAGGGGAGGUUAUACAUUUGUCAAUAUUUUAAUUUGUUCUUUAUAUCCAUAGUAA